rnacentral:rRNA from 1 species
AUCAUGAGUUCACAUGUCCGCAUGAUUAAAGGUAUUUUCCGGUAGACGAUGGGGAUGCGUUCCAUUAGAUAGUAGGCGGGGUAACGGCCCACCUAGUCAACGAUGGAUAGGGGUUCUGAGAGGAAGGUCCCCCACAUUGGAACUGAGACACGGUCCAAACUCCUACGGGAGGCAGCAGUGAGGAAUAUUGGUCAAUGGGCGAUGGCCUGAACCAGCCAAGUAGCGUGAAGGAUGACUGCCCUAUGGGUUGUAAACUUCUUUUAUAAAGGAAUAAAGUCGGGUAUGCAUACCCGUUUGCAUGUACUUUAUGAAUAAGGAUCGGCUAACUCCGUGCCAGCAGCCGCGGUAAUACGGAGGAUCCGAGCGUUAUCCGGAUUUAUUGGGUUUAAAGGGAGCGUAGAUGGAUGUUUAAGUCAGUUGUGAAAGUUUGCGGCUCAACCGUAGAAUUGCAGUUGAUACUGGAUGUCUUGAGUGCAGUUGAGGCAGGCGGAAUUCGUGGUGUAGCGGUGAAAUGCUUAGAUAUCACGAAGAACUCCGAUUG